rnacentral:rRNA from 1 species
UGGGGUGAAGUCGUAACAAGGUAGCCGUAGGGGAACCUGCGGCUGGAUCACCUCCUUAAUCGACGACA